CACACAGGUGGGGAAGGUUAGAAGGCAACAGAUAGAGAAUGGUACUGAUUGUGUUAAGCAUAAAACACCAUCUGUUUCAUAAGUAAGACGGGAACAAAAUCUGCACGUCUUGAGGGAUACUAUCCCGCUGCUAGAAGUCAGUGCUCUUUUUUAUUUAUUUUUUAUUUUCUUGCUACAUUUUCAAGCUUCAGCAUAAAGCAGUUAGAACGUAGAAAUGGUCAGCUCAUAAAUCAGGGGGCUGUUGAAAAGAUGCUGAAGUUUAAAUUACCACAGGGCCUCUCGGCCCUGUAACAUGUCAGGAAAAGAGGGAAUUUUAAAUGAGUAUUGUGGUUGGCAUGAGAGAAGAUAGAAUGAAUUUCAGUUCCCAAAGUUUUUAAAUAGAGGAGUACACGCUUAAAUAUCAACAAAUGUGAUGGUGAAAAUGUUCUUCCUUGACUAUUGCUUUCUUCUCAAUUUCAAAUGACCAAGUGGAAAAAAAAAAGGUUUUGGAAUGGCACAGUCAAUAGGACAGCAUAUUAACUUAUUUGUUAUCGAAUCAGAAAACUUUCUUGAGGGUUGCUGGUUAUGAAGAAGCAUUACAAGCAAAGAUACAUGGCUGAAUGCCAAUGUGACUAAGCUGCAGAGCUAUGUGGAUGCUGUGGGCCCUGCACAUGGCCACAAGGGGAAAGGGGCAAUGCUCCUCUGUGCUGUAUAUGCAGAAAAUUCUGCAUGGGAAAAGCUGUGGGUGGGAGCAGAUAGCUGCAAACUUCUGAAAGAGAAGGUGUGUUGGAAUGUUAAAAUGAAAGACAAAGAUUUCAGAAGAUCUUGAAGACGAUGAUGUGCUCAGAAAUCAUCUGCCCAUAUGAAGUGCUUCUUUCUGAAUCCAAAGGCUGAAUGUAGGGCCCUGCUUGCUGACUCUCCCAAUGACUUUGCUGAGGUUUCCAUGCCCAACUCUUGUGAGGUCCUAAUACAUCAAAAAUCUAUCUUUGGAAGCAUGCUCCCCUGCUCAAACAUUUAAAACACCAGGAUUUCAUCACGGGGCAGACUAAGUGCAAGAAUUCUUCCCGGGUGUUGAAGUUCUGCAACCACCACCACACCAUCAGGACCGGACAGCAACGGGCGGACGGAGAUGGUGGAUGAGAGCUGCCAGGUGCAUGCAACUUCUUGCCCAAGAUUUCCAAGACCUGAUGGUGUGGAGAGCUUUAAAAGAAGGAUCUGAAGGAAAGCAGUGAUGCAACUUCGUGGGUGCCUCUUGCUGUGAUUUAGUGCUGUCUGUGCUCAGGCACCAGCUCAGCCUGCAGCCAGGCAUCACUUCUAUCACUAAAGUAGUGCUGCACACUGUGUGGAUAUCCCACAGACUAGUCAAAAGAGGACAAAGCAUCUCUCCUCUCACUUGGAGUACAGCAUGCACCAGUAACUUGCAUGAGAAUUGUAUUACCCAGAACCUGCAUGAUGACUUCACACACCACAAAAUAUGGGCAGUCACAGGAGUGCAACUGCAGGGGCCCUCCUUGGCUUUCUUCAGAUCACAGUUUGCCAGCUCCCAUCCCAGAAAUGUGAGUCCUGAGAAUGACUGCAGAAACUUUUACUUGUCUGAGCUCCAGGAGUAUUUAUGUAAUUUAAUCGAUGAACUGCACUGAUUUAUUUGCACUAAGUAACUCCUUGGGAUCUGGAUAAUAGAUAAGGGUGUGCACAGUGCUGUACAAACACAUCAUAAAUAAAUGCAGCUUGCAAAUCAAUUGUCAGAUAUUGAUGAUUAAUCUCCUUAUAGUAAAAUAAUGUUACAUCUGUCCAUUAUGGCUUUUUUUUCUUUUCUUUUAAUUU
ensembl:lncRNA